AGCCUUCUGUAUCUGUGCUGAGAUUUCGUCAGCGAUCAUCCCGUUGACGCUGGCUGAUGUAACUCUCAAAAUAAGUGAAGCG
rnacentral:pre_miRNA from 1 species